CACGUAGGGGACGAGCGUUGUCCGGAUUCAUUGGGCGUAAAGCGCGCGUAGGCGGCUCGGAAAGUCGGUCGUGAAAUGCCGGGGCUCAACCCCGGGACUGCGUCCGAUACUCCCGAGCUGGAGGCAGGUAGGGGAGAUCGGAAUUCCUGGUGUAGCGGUGAAAUGCGUAGAUAUCUGGAGGAACACCGGUGGCGAAGGCGGCAUCCUGGACCGGUAUUGACGCUGAGGCGCGAAAGCCAGGGGAGCAAACGGG
rnacentral:rRNA from 1 species